rnacentral:ncRNA from 1 species
AGAAUUACGAUGAUGGGAAGAGUAGGUUACACAAAGUUAUAAGAGAGAGUUUCCCUCGGGUGUGAGGAAACUUUAACUGGUGGUAAUUGAAUUGCAUCUUGGAGUACUGGAUUGAACGAUAGUAGAUUUCAGCGGAAACGUCCGUUAAAGCGUUGAGGUAUGAUUGUACCAAUAAAAAAAAGAGUUUUGUCAUGUAAAUUUAAUUGAUUUUAUGUGAUAUAAACAGAGUGGAACCGCGGAAGUAAACCUUCUGCCUCUGUA